UCUCACACACACACACACACACACACACACACACACACACUCCACCUGUCUCUCUCUCUCUCAGUGGUUAAAUCCUGGCCCUCUGGUCAGUGCACUUGGAGCAGAUUGAGAGUUAAACCUCACACACCCUACACACACGCUAUUCUACUAAUAACACUUUUCUCACACACACGCUCCUGUGUCAGAGCCACACUGUAGUCCAGAAGCUACAGAUCAUAUGCUCCAUGAACUUCCUGACCAACAGGAGAAGAGAAUCAUGGGUCUGUGCGCUGACCAGGACAGAACAGGACGCAUCACAUGCGUCAGGAUGGGAAUGGACACGGAGCUCAGGGCAGUGUAAAAAGGUUCUCCAGAGCUGAAGCAGAUAAUCUCAGCUGUAAUCAUAAAGACUGUCCUGUUGCUCGUCCCAGGACUCGCCUGAACGUCCUGCACACACACUGCAGAAAAGACCGGAGCUACAGAUUCAAUUCAGUUCAUUCCGUUUUAAAGAAAUCCACACAUCAGAAAGGUAGAACUCGAUCCCUGUGGAGCCAGUCUGAGGCCAUGGAGGUGAGGAAAGAAGAUCUGAGGAAGAAAAUCCUUGAGAGACGGAAAUGCUCUGACCAGAACUGUUCUUACAGUUCUUACAACACACACACACACACACACAAACACACACACACAUAUUAUCAGGAUCUGUAUAUAUACAUGUUUUUUUUCUAAGAAUGAUUGUACAAAAGAAAAGUUCUCGCACCAUCAUGAGGUACGUUGUGGGAACGUUGCAGGAACGUUCCUGAGCGUUAAUCAACAAGUGUUCUCAUAACCUCUGGAAAAGCCCCACAGUUCCUGUGUUAUACAAUGUAAUAACCAUCAUAUCAUAAAAACAUCAACGUUCCAGGAACCCAAAGUUCUUAGAAGUGUUUAUAAAGCAUCACCUGAUCACACUGGUCCACGUGAAGUGUGGCAGAAACUCUACUCGGUGGUGUGACCUUUCAUCAUUGUCUGACCAUCCUCCCAUCUGACCUCCCACACUCUGACAACAUAUGUACAAGACACAAAUAUCAGGAUCUCACACAGGCACAUCUGCCUCACACACACACCUCCAGGGUAUGGGGUUCGAUUCCCACCUCUACCCAGGAGGAAAAAAGAAGAAGAAAAGGACAAGGAAGAAGAAGAAGAAGAAGAAGAAGAAGAAGAAAAAGAAGUGGAGGAAGAAGAAGAAGAAGAAGAAGUGGAAGAAGAAGAAGAAGAAGAAGUGGAAGUAUUCAUCCUGAAAUGAUGCUGUUAUUUUGGCAGCUGCCCUGCAUGCGCCUGACGUUCUCCUGUGAGACGUGAGCUCACGUGCAGAAUGCAGGCAUGCGCUACUGCUGGGAACGGCCGAGUGGAUCUUAUUUUCUUCAAGUUUGCACAGGAUGAAGAAAAAGAAAACAAACGAGUCUGAGUCUGACAUGCAUGCUCUACUGUAAUGCUCGGAGGGGGCGGAGCCAGGAAGGUUAAAGGGCGGGGUCAGGUGGACAGUUAAACACUUAUUGUGUAAUAUGAGUGUAGUAGUCGUGUUUGUCACCUCCAGUCUACACACAAUCUGAGUGUUGACUCACUGUAGAGUCAGAUUCAAUUCAAUUUUAUUCAAUUCAUUACGAUUUGAUUCAAUUCUAUUUGUUUCAAUGUGAUUCGAUUCAAUCCAAUUAGAUUCAAUCCUAUUCUAUUCUAUUCAAAUUGAUUCCAUUCAAUUCUAUUCUAUUCUAUUCAAUCCAAUUCGACUCAGUUCGGUUCAGUCUGAUUCGAUUCAAUUGGAUUAAUUCGAUUUGAUUCAAUUAAUUAAUUCGAUUCAAUUCAAUUCAAUCCAGUUGAUUCGAUUCAGACUAAAACUACAUUAGACUCUGUGUGUAUGUGUGUUUGUGUGUGUAUGUGUGUUUGUGUGUGUGUGUGUGUGUAAGAACGUACAGUUAAACACUUAUUGUGUAAUAUGAGUGUAGUAGUCCUGUUUGUCACCUCCAGUCUCCACACAAUCUGAGUGUUGAAUCACUGUAGUGUCAGAUUCAAUACAAUUUUAUUCUAUUCAGUUCGAAUCAUUCAAUUCAAUUUAAUUCUAUACUAUUCUGUUCUCUUUGAUUUAAUUCGGUUCUAUUCAAAUGCAUUCGGUUCAAUUCUAUUCUAUCCGACUCGAUUCUAUUCUAUUCUAUCCGACUCUAUUCUAUUCUAUUCUAUUCUAUUCUAUUCUAUUCUAUUUGAUUCAAUUCAAUCCGAUCCGAUUUGAUUAAAUUCAACCCAAUUCGAUUCAAUUAAAUCCAGUCAGAUUCGAUUCAAUUCCAUUUUAUUUGUAUAGCGCUUGUAACAGUGCACAUUGUCUCAGAGCAGCUUUACAGAACAUAAAAAACACAGUACAGAAAGUUCAAGAUUGAUAUGAGACAAAUUUCUUUGAAUUAAUCCCUAAUCCCUAAAUAAUAGGGAUUGAUACCGAGGACAAGAACGACUUCUUGUCUCUUGUCUCCCUGCUAUAAUCUACUGGAGGCCUGGAGGGGUGAAGAGAUGAGGGCAGUCUGAUCAACUACCAUUAAACAUGUUAGAGAUAUUACUGACGCAUCAGAAAGCUAAGAUUCAUGCAGGAGGUUCGAAGGAGGUAGGGCUGUGUCCCAAAUGACCUGCUUACACUGUGCACUAGCGUCUAGUUAGCAUGUUAGCAUGGUCGUAUCGUCUCUAAUGGAACACUAAUGCUUCUUAUUUAUUUAUUUUUUGUGUGUGUGUUGUGGGGGAUGUGGUAGCUUAGUGCUGGACAACUGACCAGAAGGUUGUAAGUUUGAAUCCCAGGUCCAACAAUCUGACACUGCCAGGCCCCUGAGCAAGGCCCCUUAACCCUCCAGUUAUAUAAAAUGAGAUAAGUUCUAAGUCGCUCUGGAAGGCAGAAAUGUAAACAUGUUACGCUAGCUUUAGCUUGAACAAUAAGCUGAAUUGUAAAAUCGUUAAAAAUUAAAAUUAAGACCGGCGUCAGUGUCUGGUAGCCCCGCCCACUUUCGCUAUGUAAGCAAAGCUGUGGUUGUUGAGUGCAUGAAGUAUCCAACAUUCACACUUUUUUUGUUUUUUGAUUGAAAAAGUGAAUCACCCAGGUUCUUGAGUACACUUCUUCUUCUUCUUCUUCUUCUUAUUCUUCUUCAAUCUGACCACACUGUAUUUAUGCUACAUGACAAAAUUAAAAUCCAACCCUUAUACAUAAAUGAAUAUGAUUUAACACAUUUACUUUUUUUAUGUUAAAAUUAAAUCCUGACAGUGUCCCUGGAAAUUCUUUUACUAAGAAAGUUGUCCCUAAAUGCACAAAGUGGUGAGGCCCCACUGGGGGAUUUCCCUAAAAUACAACCGUUUCAGAGCAACUUACUCAUCACUGCAUGGCCUGUCUCAGAGUAUUAAGGCUAACAGUGGAUGGCCACACACACACACACACACACACACACACACACAGAGUCAGACCACCACAGAGGUGUGUAUUGUGCCUGAUACGGGACCACCGGAGCACAAAACCUGCUGUAAAUUAUGUUUUUGAUUUACAUGUGUUCAUUAGCACAGGACUUUAAUCACUACCACUGCUUCAUUUUACUGUGAAACGCCCACACACACACACACACACACACACACACACACACACACACACACACACACAUGCACACACACACAUUAUAAAGCAGGGAGAGCAAUAACCUCACAGGUUGCAACAAACAGAAGCAGACACAAAUAAGAAAAACAAAAUGAUAGUCUAAAGGAGGAGACAACAUCAAGACGUUACACACACACACACACACGCACGUACACAAGCACACACACAAGCACACACAUACACACACGCACAGUAUUCAGCACAAGCAUGUGCAGUGAUGUUGCUGACAUUUAGAGCAUCCAAAUGCGCAUAUGUGUGUGUGUUUGAUGGACAGAUGGUGUGUGUGUGUGUGUGUGUGUAUGUGUGUGUGUAAUGUGACUACACUUCAGAAUUCACCACGCAGUUCACACUAACCAGCACUUUUCUCUUUACACAGCCGCCAAUCAUUUUAAAAUCAAACACUGACCUGUCAGUCAAAGCCAGACCUGUCAAUCAUACACUGACCUGUCAAUCAUACACUGACCCGUCAAUCAAAUACUGACCUGUCAAUCAAAUACUGACCUGUCAAUCAAAUCCAAAGCUGUCAGUCAACAACUGAUUUUAAUCAAACACACAUGCAUCAAUUAAAAACUGAUCCAUCGAUCAAUGAUCAAUCAUACACUGACCUGUCAAUCAUACACUGACCUGUCAAUCAUACACUGACCUUUCAAUCAUACACUGACCUGUCAAUCAUACACUGACCUUUCAAUCAUACACUGACCUGUCAAUCAUACACUGAACUUUCAAUCAUACACUGACCUGUCAAUCAUACACUGAACUUUCAAUCAUACACUGUAAAACACUCUGUAAAACACGUACACUCUGUAAAACUUUCUGUAAGUCACUCUGUAAGUCACUCUGUAAAACAUUCUGUAAGUCACUCUGUAAAACUUUCUGUAAGUCACUCUGUAAGUCAC